GACGAACGCUGGCGGCGUGCUUAACACAUGCAAGUCGAACGGAAAGGCCCUGCUUUUGUGGGGUGCUCGAGUGGCGAACGGGUGAGUAACACGUGAGUAACCUGCCCUUGACUUUGGGAUAACUUCAGGAAACUGGGGCUAAUACCGGAUAGGAGCUCCUGCUGCAUGGUGGGGGUUGGAAAGUUUCGGCGGUUGGGGAUGGACUCGCGGCUUAUCAGCUUGUUGGUGGGGUAGUGGCUUACCAAGGCUUUGACGGGUAGCCGGCCUGAGAGGGUGACCGGCCACAUUGGGACUGAGAUACGGCCCAGACUCCUACGGGAGGCAGCAGUGGGGAAUAUGGCACAAUGGGCGGAAGCCUGAUGCAGCAACGCCGCGUGCGGGAUGACGGCCUUCGGGUGGUAAACCGCUUUCGCCUGUGGCGAAGCGUGAGUGACGGUAAUGGGGAAAGAAGCACCGGCUAACUACGU
rnacentral:rRNA from 1 species